rnacentral:rRNA from 1 species
GCCUACGGGGGGCAGCAGUGAGGAAUAUUGGUCAAUGGGCUUACGCCUGAACCAGCCAAGCCGCGUGAGGGAGGAAGGUACAGAGUAUCGUAAACCUCUUUUGUCAGGGAACAAAGGCGGGGACGUGUCCCCGGAUGAGUGUACCUGAAGAAAAAGCAUCGGCUAACUCCGUGCCAGCAGCCGCGGUAAUACGGAGGAUGCGAGCGUUAUCCGGAUUUAUUGGGUUUAAAGGGUGCGCAGGCGGUCUGUUAAGUCAGCGGUCAAAGCCCGGGGCUCAACCCCGGCCCGCCGUUGAAACUGGCAGU